rnacentral:rRNA from 1 species
CACCUACGGGUGGCUGCAGUCGAGAAUCUUCGGCAAUGGGGGAAACCCUGACCGAGCGACGCCGCGUGUGGGAUGAAGGCCCUUGGGUUGUAAACCACUGUCAGAGGGGAUGAAGUGCUAGGGAGUUCUCUCCUUAGUUUGACAUAGCCUCAGAGGAAGCACGGGCUAAGUUCGUGCCAGCAGCCGCGGUAAGACGAACUGUGCAAACGUUAUUCGGAAUCACUGGGCUUGAAGAGUGCGUAGGCGGUUUCGUAAGUAGGGUGUGAAAGCCCCCGGCUCAACCGGGGAAUUGCGUCCUAAACUGCGAGGCUGGAGUGAGGUAGGGGUGUGUGGAACUUCCAGUGGAGCGGUGAAAUGUGUUGAUAUUGGAAGGAACGCCGGUGGCGAAAGCGACACACUGGACCUUGUCUGACGCUGAGGCACGAAAGCCAGGGGAGCAAACGGGAUUAGAUACCCCAGUAGUCA